GAUGAACGCUGGCGGCGUGCUUAACACAUGCAAGUCGAACGAAGCACUUUAUUUGAUUUCCUUCGGUACUGAUUAUUUUGUGACUGAGUGGCGUACGGGUGAUUAACGCGUGGUUAACCUGCCUUGUACAGGGGGAUAACAGUUGGAAACGGCUGCUCAUACCGCAUAAGCGCACAGCAUCGCAUGAUGCAGUGUGAAAAGCUCCGGUGGGAUAAGAUGUACCCGCGUUGGAUUAGCUUGUUGGUGAGGUAACGGCAAACCAAGGCGAGGAUCCAUAGCCGACCGGGGAGGGGGACAGGCCAAAUCGGGAAUGAGACACGGACCAAAAUGCGACGGGAGGGAGGAGUGGGGAAUAUUGCAGAAUGGGGGAAAGCCUGAUGAAGCGACGCGGGGGAAGAGAAGAAGUAGUUCGGUAUGUAAAGCUGUAUCAGAAGGGAAGAGAAUGACGGUACCGGACUAAGAAGCACCGGCUAAAUACGUG
rnacentral:rRNA from 1 species